rnacentral:rRNA from 1 species
AUACGGAGGGUGCAAGCGUUAUCCGGAUUCAUUGGGUUUAAAGGGUACGUAGGCGGAUAGAUAAGUUAGUGGUGAAAUCCCGAGGCUCAACUUCGGAACUGCCAUUAAAACUGUCUAUCUUGAAUUUGGUUGAAGGGGGCGGAAUAUGACAUGUAGCGGUGAAAUGCAUAGAUAUGUCAUGGAACACCAAUAGUGAAGACAGCUCACUAAGCCAAUAUUGACGCUGAGGUACGAAAGCAUGGGUAGCGAACAGGAUUAGAUACCCCAGUAGUCC